GACGAACGCUGGCGGCGUGCUUAACACAUGCCAGUCGAACGGAAAGGCCCUGCUUUUGUGGGGUGCUCGAGUGGCGAACGGGUGAGUAACACGUGAGUAACCUGCCCUUGACUUUGGGAUAACUUCAGGAAACUGGGGCUAAUACCGGAUAGGAGCUCCUGCUGCAUGGUGGGGGUUGGAAAGUUUCGGCGGUUGGGGAUGGACUCGCGGCUUAUCAGCUUGUUGGUGGGGUAGUGGCUUACCAAGGCUUUGACGGGUAGCCGGCCUGAGAGCGUGACCGGCCACAUUGGGACUGCGAUAGGGACCAGACGGCUACGGGAGGCAGCAGUGGGGAAUCUUGCACAAUGGGCGGAAGUCUGAUGCAGCAACGCCGCGUGCGGGAUGACGUCCUUCGGGUUGUAAACCGCUUUCGCCUGUGACGAAGCGUGAGUGACGGUAAUGGGUAAAGAAGCACCGGCUAACUACGUG
rnacentral:rRNA from 1 species